ACUGAGCUAAAUCCCUUGUCCAUUUUUCACCUCAUUGAUUGCCAGGGUUGAUUCGACUGAUCCAGCUGGCUGAGUGGUGUCCCCUUCCUCCCUCACCACUCCUGGUGCCUCUUCCUGAAGCUUCUGCUCAGUUGAAGAGGGACCCCACCCCCCAUAGAGGAAGAUCCUUUCCUGGGUCAAGGGUAUAGCAGUGGCUGUGCUCCCCUGCUAGAACUUCCAGGUAGGCUCUCAAGGUGACCUGGAAAGUAGUAACCAGUGUGUGUUUGAAUUUGUCUUUGUAGUAUCCUUUGGAGACUAAAGAAUAUAUGU
ensembl:misc_RNA 7SK 7SK RNA